AAUCUUGGGCAAUGGGCGAAAGCCUGACCCAGCCACGCCGCGUGCAGGAUGACACCCCUCAGGGGCGUAAACUGCUUUUGUACGGGAAGAAAUCCCUGCUCGGCAGGGCCUGACGGUACCGUACGAAUAAGCACCGGCUAACUCCGUGCCAGCAGCCGCGGUAAUACGGAGGGUGCAAGCGUUGUCCGGAAUCACUGGGUGUAAAGGGUGUGUAGGCGGACCUGUAAGUCAGGGGUGAAAGCCUGCGGCUUAACCGCAGAAUUGCCUUUGAUACUGCAGGUCUUGAGUCCCGGAGGGGCUACCGGAAUUCGUGGUGUAGCGGUGAAAUGCGUAGAUAUCACGAGGAACACCAGAGGUGAAGACGGGUAGCUGGACGGGUACUGACGCUGAGGCACGAAAGCGUGGGGAGCAAAC
rnacentral:rRNA from 1 species